GUCAAAAAUACCGCUGGAGUUUUCUAUUUUGUCAACAAAAUUACAAUUUUUCUUAGCUUCAAAAUCAAUCUUUGAUUAUUAUUUUUCUAUUCAAUCCACUGUGUCAUAAAAACAAUUUUAACCCCCAAGGCCUAAACAAAAAC